rnacentral:lncRNA from 1 species
GUUUCUGGUUUCGGUUUCACUUUCGGCUUGCUGUACAGACUGCUGCCCACCAGCUGGCUAGGUCGCUCUAACAGAAAGACAGCAUGAGAACUGGGAGAGCUGAGAACAACUGUUGAACCAUGGAUGUAAUGAUCCCCUUCUUUCCAUCAGCAACAAUGGCAAAUCCUCUGUGCUGAAGACCACAUUUUCUCCCUGGAAAAAUGGAAAUGUUACUGUUUAGACACAGAUCCCUGAAAAUUAUACAUGCGGGUAGAUGGAACAGGAAACCAUUUAUGAGUAGAUGAAAACACGAACCACGAGACUCAACAAACCAAUGUGGAGUUUAUUGAAGGGAAC